rnacentral:rRNA from 1 species
GUCGGACGGCAGCACGGGAGCUUGCUCCUGGUGGCGAGUGGCGGACGGGUGAGUAGCGCUUGGGAAUCUGCCUGGCAUUGGGGGAUAACUCGGGGAAACUCGAGCUAAUACCGCGUACGCCCUGAGGGGGAAAGCAGGGGACUUGCUUGCAAGCCUUGCGAUGUCAGAUGAGCCCAAGCCGGAUUAGCUAGUUGGUAGGGUAAAGGCCUACCAAGGCGACGAUCCGUAGCUGGUCUGAGAGGAUGAUCAGCCACACUGGGACUGAGACACGGCCCAGACUCCUACGGGAGGCAGCAGUGGGGAAUAUUGGACAAUGGGGGCAACCCUGAUCCAGCCAUGCCGCGUGUGUGAAGAAGGUCUUAGGAUUGUAAAGCACUUUAAGUCAGGAGGAAGGCGCUCUGGUUAAUACCUGGAGUGAUUGACGUUACUGACAGAAUAAGCACCGGCUAACUUCGUGCCAGCAGCCGCGGUAAUACGAAGGGUGCAAGCGUUAAUCGGAAUUACUGGGCGUAAAGCGCGCGCAGGCGGUUCGAUAAGAAAGAUGUGAAAGGCCUGGGCUCAACCUGGGAAUGGCAUUUUUAACUGUCGGGCUAGAGUACGGUAGAGGGUGGUGGAAUUUCCUGUGUAGCGGUGAAAUGCGUAGAUAUAGGAAGGAACGUCAGUGGCAAAGGCGACCACCUGGACUGAUACUGACGCUCAUGUGCGAAAGCGUGGGGAGCAAACAGG